rnacentral:rRNA from 1 species
AACGAACGCUGGCGGCAUGCCUAACACAUGCAAGUCGAACGAGACCUUCGGGUCUAGUGGCGCACGGGUGCGUAACGCGUGGGAACCUGCCCUUAGGUUCGGAAUAACUCCCCGAAAGGGGUGCUAAUACCGGAUAAUGUCUUCGUGCCAAAGAUUUAUCGCCUUUGGAUGGGCCCGCGUUGGAUUAGCUAGUUGGUAGGGUAAAAGCCUACCAAGGCGACGAUCCAUAGCUGGUCUGAGAGGAUGAUCAGCCACACUGGGACUGAGACACGGCCCAGACUCCUACGGGAGGCAGCAGUGGGGAAUAUUGGACAAUGGGCGAAAGCCUGAUCCAGCAAUGCCGCGUGAGUGAUGAAGGCCUUAGGGUUGUAAAGCUCUUUUACCCGGGAUGAUAAUGACAGUACCGGGAGAAUAAGCUCCGGCUAACUCCGUG